UGGGGAAUAUUGGACAAUGGGCGAAAGCCUGAUCCAGCCAUGCCGCGUGUGUGAAGAAGGCCUUUUGGUUGUAAAGCACUUUAAGCGAGGAGGAGGCUACUUAGAUUAAUACUCUAGGAUAGUGGACGUUACUCGCAGAAUAAGCACCGGCUAACUCUGUGCCAGCAGCCGCGGUAAUACAGAGGGUGCGAGCGUUAAUCGGAUUUACUGGGCGUAAAGCGUGCGUAGGCGGCUUUUUAAGUCGGAUGUGAAAUCCCUGAGCUUAACUUAGGAAUUGCAUUCGAUACUGGGAAGCUAGAGUAUGGGAGAGGAUGGUAGAAUUCCAGGUGUAGCGGUGAAAUGCGUAGAGAUCUGGAGGAAUACCGAUGGCGAAGGCAGCCAUCUGGCCUAAUACUGACGCGGAGGUACGAAAGCAUGGGGAGCAAACAGG
rnacentral:rRNA from 1 species